AUUGAACGCUGGCGGCAUGCCUUACACAUGCAAGUCGAACGGCAGCACGGGGCAACCUGGUGGCGAGUGGCGAACGGGUGAGUAAUGUAUCGGAACGUGCCAUUGAGUGGGGGAUAACGUAGCGAAAGUUACGCUAAUACCGCAUAUACCCUGAGGGGGAAAGCAGGGGAUCGCAAGACCUUGUGCUCUUUGAGCGGCCGAUAUCAGAUUAGCUAGUUGGUGAGGAAAAGGCUCACCAAGGCGACGAUCUGUAGCGGGUCUGAGAGGAUGAUCCGCCACCCUGGGACUGAGACACGGCACAGACUCCUACGGGAGGCAGCAGUGGGGAAUUUUGGACAAUGGGCGCAAGCCUGAUCCAGCCAUGCCGCGUGAGUGAAGAAGGCCUUCGAGUUGUAAAGCUCUUUCGGCCGGGAAGAAAUCGUACAGGUUAAUACCCUGUGUGGAUGACGGUACCGGAAUAAGAAGCACCGGCUAACUACGUGCCAGCAGCCGCGGUAAAAC
rnacentral:rRNA from 1 species